rnacentral:rRNA from 1 species
AGUGAACGCUGGCGGUAGGCCUAACACAUGCAAGUCGAACGGCAGCACAGUAAGAGCUUGCUCUUACGGGUGGCGAGUGGCGGACGGGUGAGGAAUACAUCGGAAUCUACUUUUUCGUGGGGGAUAACGUAGGGAAACUUACGCUAAUACCGCAUACGACCUACGGUUGAAAGCAGGGGAUCUUCUGACCUUGCGCGAUUGAAUGAGCCGAUGUCGGAUUAGCUAGUUGGCGGGGUAAAGGCCCACCAAGGCGACGAUCCGUAGCUGGUCUGAGAGGAUGAUAAGCCACACUGGAACUGAGACACGGUCCAGACUCCUACGGGAGGCAGCAGUGGGGAAUAUUGGACAAUGGGAGCAAGCCUGAUCCAGCCAUACCGCGUGGGUGAAGAAGGCCUUCGGGUUGUAAAGCCCUUUUGUUGGGAAAGAAAAGCAGCAGGUUAAUACCCAGCUGUUCUGACGGUACCCAAAGAAUAAGCACCGGCUAACUUCGUG